AGUGAACGCUGGCGGUAGGCCUAACACAUGCAAGUCGAACGGCAGCACAGUAAGAGCUUGCUCUUACGGGUGGCGAGUGGCGGACGGGUGAGGAAUACAUCGGAAUCUACUUUUUCGUGGGGGAUAACGUAGGGAAACUUACGCUAAUACCGCAUACGACCUACGGGGGAAAGCAGGGGAUCGUCGGACCUUGCGCGAUUGAAUGAGCCGAUGUCGGAUUAGCUAGUUGGCGGGGUAAAGGCCCACCAAGGCGACGAUCCGUAGCUGGUCUGAGAGGAUGAUCAGCCACACUGGAACUGAGACACGGUCCAGACUCCUACGGGAGGCCGCAGUGGGGAAUAUUGGACAAUGGGCGCAAGCCUGAUCCAGCCAUACCGCGUGGGUGAAGAAGGCCUUCGGGUUGUAAAGCCCUUUUGUUGGGAAAGAAAAGCAGCAGGUUAAUACCCCGCUGUUCUGACGGUACCCAAAGAAUAAGCACCGGCUAACUUCGUG
rnacentral:rRNA from 1 species